rnacentral:rRNA from 1 species
GGAUUGUAGGCUGCAACCCGCCUACAUGAAGUCGGAAUUGCUAGUAAUCGUGGAUCAGCAUGCCACGGUGAAUACGUUCCCGGGCCUUGUACACACCGCCCGUCAAACCAUGAGAGUUGGCAACACCCGAAGCCUGUAGCUUAACCGCAAGGAUGGCGCAGUCGAAGGUGGGGUCGAUGAUUAGGGUUAAGUCGUAACAAGGUACC